CUGACGAGAACAGAGGGGUAAAGCAUGAGCAGUAGAGUUCUGCUCCUGAGCAUGAUAUCAUUUUCACAGAUUUAACACAUGCACACGGAAAACAAUUAGAACAUCACAUAAAGUUGUGAAGUGAAAAUGUGAUUUCUCCCAUAACACUCUUCACUCAAAACUGUUUUGUUCCUUGGGUGUAAUUUCAAAAGAAAAUUAUACACUUACUCAAAUGUAUAUAAGUAAAUAGAUUGCUUCUUUUUUUUUUCCUCUGACAAAUCAGGUAAUCCUGUCGUGUACUGUUUUGUGCAGUGUGGACCUGGGUUCCCAUUCUGGUUGUUCCCGACCAGAUAUGUGGCCUUGGGCUAGUCAUUCAUCACUCUCUCUGGAAGAGUCCUUAUCUCUCUGAUCGUCAUGGCAAUGAAAUGAACCAGGACAUGUUAAGUCUGCAGCACAGCUCCCCAGGCACAGCAUGACAAAUGCCAGCCCUUCGUUGUCAUUAUUAAUAUGAGUAUAGCAGGAUUUCUAACCCAGGUCCCUGAAGAUUUUUUAAAUAGUAUUUAGUGACCUGAACAUUGACUCAGAUUCCGUGGCUCUCUAGAGGUUUUGUCGGGGCCAGAGGGUUCUCCUUUGUAAAGGGAAGGGGUCAGAGUGGAUGAUUGGCCACACAUUUGCCACCUGAAGAGUCUAUGGAUAACAUUUGUUGCCUUUCCAUGUGUGGAGAGAGGAGGCGAAGCAAGUCACCCAGGAGUGGCUGGAAACGCCCACGCUGGGUCCCCUGUUGAUGUGGGCUGCAGACCAUCUUGGAGCCUGGGCCCUGAGCUCCAGGAAUCUAGGGAGAUCACCCCUAGGCAGCGAGGCUGCGGCCUGGGGCAGGUGCAGCUCCCUGGAUAUGUUCUCUCGCCUUUUCUUCUCACUCACUCAC
rnacentral:lncRNA from 1 species